rnacentral:rRNA from 1 species
GCUUAACGCGAAGAACCUUACCAAGGCUUGACAUCCUACGAAUCCUGUGGAAACACGGGAGUGCCCUUCGGGGAGCGUAGAGACAGGUGGUGCAUGGUUGUCGUCAGCUCGUGUCGUGAGAUGUUGGGUUAAGUCCCGCAACGAGCGCAACCCCUAUAUUUAGUUGCCAGCAAGUAAAGUUGGGCACUCUAGAUAGACUGCCGGUGACAAACCGGAGGAAGGUGGGGAUGACGUCAAAUCAUCAUGCCCCUUAUGUCUUGGGCUACACACGUGCUACAAUGGCCAGUACAGACGGAAGCGAAGCCGUGAGGUGGAGCAAAUCCGAGAAAGCUGGUCUCAGUUCGGAUUGUUCUCUGCAACUCGAGAACAUGAAGUCGGAAUCGCUAGUAAUCGCAGGUCAGCAUACUGCGGUGAAUACGUUCCCGG